rnacentral:rRNA from 1 species
AUGAACGCUGGCGGCGUGCCUAAUACAUGCAAGUCGAGCGAACGGACGAGAAGCUUGCUUCUCUGAUGUUAGCGGCGGACGGGUGAGUAACACGUGGAUAACCUACCUAUAAGACUGGGAUAACUUCGGGAAACCGGAGCUAAUACCGGAUAAUAUUUUGAACCGCAUGGUUCAAAAGUGAAAGACGGUCUUGCUGUCACUUAUAGAUGGAUCCGCGCUGCAUUAGCUAGUUGGUAAGGUAACGGCUUACCAAGGCAACGAUGCAUAGCCGACCUGAGAGGGUGAUUGGCCACACUGGAACUGAGACACGGUCCAGACUCCUACGGGAGGCAGCAGUAGGGAAUCUUCCGCAAUGGGCGAAAGCCUGACGGAGCAACGCCGCGUGAGUGAUGAAGGUCUUCGGAUCGUAAAACUCUGUUAUUAGGGAAGAACAUAUGUGUAAGUAACUGUGCACAUCUUGACGGUACCUAAUCAGAAAGCCACGGCUAACUACGUG